rfam:Clostridium perfringens SM101, complete genome.
UUUAAAAUUCGGCAAAAUUAGAGAAAUCUAAUGACGCAAAGCUAUAGGGACUAAGGUUUAUAACUAUGUCAGCCAGUUGCCAAA